CGUAGGUGGCAAGCGUUGUCCGGAUUUAUUGGGUUUAAAGGGUGCGUAGGCGGUCUUUUAAGUCAGUGCUGAAAUACUCCAGCUUAACUGGAGGGGUGGCAUUGAUACUGGAAGACUUGAGUGUAGUCGAGGUAGGCGGAAUUGACGGUGUAGCGGUGAAAUGCUUAGAUAUCGUCAAGAACACCGAUAGUGAAGACAGCUUACUAGGCUACAACUGACGCUGAGGCACGAAAGUGUGGGGAUCAAACAGGAUUAGAUACCCUGGUAGUCCACACUGUAAACGUUGAUUACUCGAUGUUGGCGAUAUACUGUCAGCGUCUUAGCGCAAGCGAUAAGUAAUCCACCUGGGGAGUACGCCGGCAACGGUG
rnacentral:rRNA from 1 species